rnacentral:rRNA from 1 species
GUCCACGCCCUAAAUGAUGUUUACUAGCUGUUUUGAGUAUCGACCCUCGAAGUGGCGAAGCUAACGCGUUAAGUAAACCGCCUGGGAAGUACGGCCGCAAGGCUAAAACUCAAAGGAAUAGACGGGGACUCGCACAAGCGGUGGAUUAUGUGGUUUAAUUCGACAACAAACGAAGAACCUUACCAAGGCUAGAAACCCAAGCGAAUCUCUCGGGAAACCAAGAGAGUCCGCAAGGACGGUUGGGCAGGUGCUGCACGGUUGUCGU